AGUGAACGCUGGCGGUAGGCCUAACACAUGCAAGUCGAACGGCAGCACAGUAAGAGCUUGCUCUUACGGGUGGCGAGUGGCGGACGGGUGAGGAAUACAUCGGAAUCUACUUUUUCGUGGGGGAUAACGUAGGGAAACUUACGCUAAUACCGCAUACGACCUACGGUUGAAAGCAGGGGAUCUUCGGACCUUGCGCGAUUGAAUGAGCCGAUGUCGGAUUAGCUAGUUGGCGGGGUAAAGGCCCACCAGGGCGACGAUCCGUAGCUGGUCUGAGAGGAUGAUCAGCCACACUGGAACUGAGACACGGUCCAGACUCCUACGGGAGGCAGCAGUGGGGAAGAUUGGACAAUGGGCGCAAGCCUGAUCCAGCCAUACCGCGUGGGUGAAGAAGGCCUUCGGGUUGUAAAGCCCUUUUGUUGGGAAAGAAAAGCAGCAGGUUAAUACCCCGCUGUUCUGACGGUACCCAAAGAAUAAGCACCGGCUAACUUCGU
rnacentral:rRNA from 1 species